GGGAAAGCGGAAGCCGGGAAUGGAAAGCCCGGUGCAAGCGGGGUACCAGUCACUUUGGCAAAUCCGGGUGGCAAUGGGAAGCCGUGAUGCGGAGCGAAAUAAAGUAGUGAAGUCCGUGAGCCAUGCGUCAAGAAAAGCCGCUAUUGUUUAUACCGUACCCGUACCGUAAACCGACACAGGUGGAUGAGGAGAGAAUCCUAAGGCCGGCGGAAGAAGCAUUGUCAAGGAACUCGGCAAAAUGGCCCCGUAACUUAGGGAUAAGGGGUGCCUGGGAAACCAGGCCGCAGAGAAUAGGCUCAAGCAACUGUUUAGCAAAAACACAGGUCUAUGCGAAACCGAAAGGUGAGGUAUAUGGGCUGACGCCUCCCCGGUGCUGGAAGGUUAAGAGGAGAGGUUAGCGCAAGCGAAGCUUUGAAUUUAAGCCCCAGUAAACGGCGGCCGUAACUAUAACGUCCUAAGGUAGCGAAAUUCCUUGUCGGGUAAGUUCCGACCCGCACGAAAGGCGUAAGGAUUUGAGCGCUGUCUCGACAAUGCAUCCGGUGAAAUUGAAGUACCAGUGAAGAUGCUGGCUACCUGCGCCAGGACGGAAAGACCCCAUGGAGCUUUACUCCAGUCUGGUACUGGGACUCGGUAUUGCAUGUACAGGAUAGGUGGGAGGCUAGGAGAUGGUAACGCCAGUUGCCAUGGAGCCGCUGUUGGGAUACCACCCUUGCAGUAUUGGGUUUCUAACCAGCCGCCGUGACCCGGCGGUGGGACAAUGCCAGACGGGGAGUUUGACUGGGGCGGUCGCCUCCGAAAGGGUAUCGGAGGCGCCCAAAGGUUCCCUCAGAAUGGACGGAAACCAUUCGAAGAGUGCAAAGGCAGAAGGGAGCUUGACUGCGACACCGACGGGUGGAGCGGGUACGAAAGUAGGGCUUAGUGAUCCGGUGGUAUUAAGUGGGAAUGCCAUCGCUCAACGGAUAAAAGCUACCCUGGGAUAACAGGCUUAUCACUCCCAAGAGUUCACAUCGACGGAGUGGUUUGGCACCUCGAUGUCGGCUCAUCGCAUCCUGGGGCUGUAGUAGGUCCCAAGGGUUGGGCUGUUCGCCCAUUAAAGCGGUACGCGAGCUGGGUUCAGAACGUCGUGAGACAGUUCGGUCCCUAUCCGGCGUGGGCGUAGGAUAUCUGAGAGGAGCUGUCCUUAGUACGAGAGGACCGGGAUGGACGGGCCGCUGGUGCAUCGGUUAGACUGCCAAGUCUACGGCCGAGUAGCCAAGCCCGGAAGGGAUAAACGCUGAAGGCAUCUAAGCGUGAAGCCCCCCUUAAGAUGAGAUAUCCCAUUCGUUAAGAAGUAAACCCCCUUGAAGACGACGAGGUAGAUAGGGCAGAGGUGGAAGUGCAGCAAUGCAUGGAGCUGACUGUUACUAAUCGGGUGAGGGCUUGAUC
rnacentral:rRNA from 1 species